UACGUAGGGUGCGAGCGUUGUCCGGAAUUAUUGGGCGUAAAGAGCUUGUAGGCGGUUUGUCGCGUCUGCUGUGAAAAUCCGGGGCUCAACCCCGGACUUGCAGUGGGUACGGGCAGACUAGAGUGUGGUAGGGGGAGACUGGAAUUCCUGGUGUAGCGGUGGAAUGCGCAGAUAUCAGGAGGAACACCGAUGGCGAAGGCAGGUCUCUGGGCCAUUACUGACACUGAGAAGCGAAAGCAUGGGGAGCGAACAGG
rnacentral:rRNA from 1 species